GUGCUCUGUAGCAGCACAUAUACUAAAAUUGGAAUGGUGCAGAGAUUAGCAUGUCCUCUGAGCAAGAAUGGCACAAAAAUUUGUCUUAAAUUUUCAACUUCCAU